UAACUCAUAAGUCCUAGUUAAUGUGCUUUAAACAAUGUUGAACCUACAAAGAGGAUCAAAAAAAGAAAAAUCACCACCCACUCCUUGCCAGUAAGAUUGAAUGCAAAAGUGUUAUCAAGUUGAUCUUCAUCGUCAUCAGAAUUUAUUGGUGUCUGAGGAUUCUCCGUUUGCGGAUCAGGCCCCAAGAAUCCACUCUCUGUUUUUGGAUCAGGCUCCAAUACUCCGUCCUCUGUUUUCGGACCAGUUCCCCCUCCUCCGCUUCCUGUGCUACCCAUUGGUUUCUUUCCAACAACUUUUGUUUUGUUUUUGUUGUUGUUAGCACAUUUU
rnacentral:lncRNA from 1 species